UGCAGUCGNNCGGCAGCGCGGGGCAACCUGGCGGCGAGUGGCGAACGGGUGAGUAAUAUAUCGGAACGUGCCCUGGAGUGGGGGAUAACGCAGCGAAAGUUGCGCUAAUACCGCAUACGAUCUAAGGAUGAAAGCGGGGGAUUCGCAAGAACCUCGUGCUCCUGGAGCGGCCGAUAUCUGAUUAGCUAGUUGGUGGGGUAAAGGCCUACCAAGGCAUCGAUCAGUAGCUGGUCUGAGAGGACGACCAGCCACACUGGAACUGAGACACGGUCCAGACUCCUACGGGAGGCAGCAGUGGGGAAUUUUGGACAAUGGGCGCAAGCCUGAUCCAGCAAUGCCGCGUGAGUGAAGAAGGCCUUCGGGUUGUAAAGCUCUUUUGUCAGGGAAGAAACGGUGCGGGCUAAUAUCCCGUGCUAAUGACGGUACCUGAAGAAUAAGCACCGGCUAACUACGUGCCAGCAGCCGCGGUAAUACGUAGGGUGCAAGCGUUAAUCGGAAUUACUGGGCGUAAAGCGUGCGCAGGCGGUUUUGUAAGUUUGUCGUGAAAUCCCCGGGCUCAACCUGGGAAUUGCGAUGAAGACUGCAAGGCUAGAAUCUGGCAGAGGGGGGUAGAAUUCCACGUGUAGCAGUGAAAUGCGUAGAGAUGUGGAGGAACACCGAUGGCGAAGGCAGCCCCCUGGGUCAAGAUUGACGCUCAUGCACGAAAGCGUGGGGAGCAAACAGGAUUAGAUACCCUGGUAGUCCACGCCCUAAACGAUGUCUACUAGUUGUCGGGUUUUAAUUAACUUGGUAACGCAGCUAACGCGUGAAGUAGACCGCCUGGGGGAGUACGGUCGCAAGAUUAAAACUCAAAGGAAUUGACGGGGNNCCGCACAAGCGGUGGAUGAUGUGGAUUAAUUCGAUGCAACGCGAAAAA
rnacentral:rRNA from 1 species